rnacentral:rRNA from 1 species
GCUCAAAUUUGAAAUCUGGCUCUUUCAGAGUCCGAGUUGUAAUUUGCAGAGGGCGCUUUGGUGUYGGCAGCGGUCCAAGUUCCUUGGAACAGGACGUCACAGAGGGUGAGAAUCCCGUACGUGGUCGCUAGCCUUCGCCGUGUAAAGCCCCUUCGACGAGUCGAGUUGUUUGGGAAUGCAGCUCUAAAUGGGAGGUAAAUUUCUUCUAAAGCUAAAUACUGGCCAGAGACCGAUAGCGCACAAGUAGAGUGAUCGAAAGAUGAAAAGCACUUUGGAAAGAGAGUCAAAUAGCACGUGAAAUUGUUGAAAGGGAAGCGCUUGCAGCCAGACUUGCCUGUAGUUGCUUAUCCGGACUUUUGUCCGGUGCACUCUUCUGCGGGCAGGCCAGCAUCAGUUUGGGCGGUUGGAUAAAGGUCUCUGUCAUGUACCUCUCUUCGGGGAGAACUUAUAGGGGAGACGACAUGCAACCAGCCUGGACUGAGGUCCGCGCAUCUGCUAGGAUGCUGGCGUAAUGGCUGUAAGCGGCCCGUCUUGAAACACGGACCAAGGAGUCUAACAUCUAUGCGAGUGUUUGGGUGUCAAGCCCAGACGCGUAAUGAAAGUGAACGGAGGUGGGAACCCUUUGGGUGCACCAUCGACCGAUCCUGAUGUCUUCGGAUGGAUUUGAGUAAGAGCAUGGCUGUUGGGACCCGAAAGAUGGUGAACUAUGCUUGAAUAGGGUGAAGCCAGAGGAAACUCUGGUGGAGGCUCGCAGCGGUU